CACGUAGUUGGCCGGUGCUUCUUCUAUAGGUACCGUCACUUGCGCUUCGUCCCUACUGAAAGAGGUUUACAACCCGAAGGCCGUCAUCCCUCACGCGGCGUCGCUGCAUCAGGCUUGCGCCCAUUGUGCAAUAUUCCCCA
rnacentral:rRNA from 1 species